rnacentral:snRNA from 7 species
AUGUUCACCUAGAAGGGUAGAUGUCAUAAUCAAAGUUACAUUUCCCAAAAUGAGGCUUAUCUGUUGUACUCUAGCUGUGUUGAUUCCUGAAAUUUCCCCAAAUGUAGAGAACUUGAUGACAUAGUUUGUGGUAGUGUGAAACUCUAAUUAAAAUAAUCAAU